GACGAACGCUGGCGGCGUGCUUAACACAUGCAAGUCGAACGGUGAAGCUCCAGCUUGCUGGAGUGGAUCAGUGGCGAACGGGUGAGUAACACGUGAGCAACCUGCCCCUGACUCUGGAAUAAGCGCUGGAAACGGCGUCUAAUACUGGAUACGAGAAGGGCCCGCAUGGGCACUUUCUGGAAAGUUUUUCGGUUGGGGAUGGGCUCGCGGCCUAUCAGCUUGUUGGUGAGGUAAUGGCUCACCAAGGCGACGACGGGUAGCCGGCCUGAGAGGGCGACCGGCCACACUGGGACUGAGACACGGCCCAGACUCCUACGGAAGGCAGCAGUGGGGAAUAUUGCACAAUGGGCGAAAGCCUGAUGCAGCGACGCCGCGUGAGGGAUGACGGCCUUCGGGUUGUAAACCUCUUUCAGCAGGGAAGAAGCGAAAGUGACGGUACCUGCAGAAGAAGCACCGGCUAACUACGUG
rnacentral:rRNA from 1 species